rnacentral:lncRNA from 1 species
AACAUCUUAACGUUUUGAAUAACUCUUCUAAUCAUGUCUGUUAGGGGCUGGAUAAGAAGCAACGGCUUUCAGCUGGCCUGCCAGUGAGGCAUUCAGGCGGGUUUGUGGUUAACCAAGGCCACACACCCAGUAAGCAACAAGAUGGGGUUUAAUUGUAGUGGUGUCUGGUGGGGGGCCUGGCACCUCUGUGGUGUCGGGUGUCAGCCAGGCCUGCUUCUUUUCCAGUGAGAGGAGAGGUCCAGUCAGGUCUCACCGGCUGGCUCCGAGGUUCAGCUUCAAUGGCUGUGAAAACAGACACCCAAAUAAUCAAAGUGCUGCAUUCCUGUGUCUAAACGGCAGCUAAUCCCCUCUCCUUUGAAGGAGCAGAAACCGCAGGUGACAAAUCAGCUGUGUGGUUCCUGUGUCCCCAAGUCCUGGAGCUGUCAGAGCCCAAAGGAACCUCAAGGAUGCCUCCGGUCAUCUCAAGGGUGUUUGUCACCCGGCAAGAAGUUUGUGAAAGACAAGUUCUAAGUGACUACCCAACUGGAGGCUUAUGAUUGGUUGCUAUGAGAUCUGCAGAAAUAUGGGAACUAAUCAGAGAAGCAUGUACAGAUUACACAGAGAGGGAUGUUCGUCUGCAUUAAAAGCAUUACAAUUGGAAACAAUUAGAUGCAAUCUCAAUAUACAACUAUAUGGCCUUUUGCUUCCUUACCCCGGAGAAAGCAAGAUGGGUCACCAGGACCACGCAAAAAGAGAACCAAGGUUCUCCUUUUUGCCACGUCUGCUCAAACUGGCACAGUCUGACCCGGAAAUACAGUGUCAACAUGUGCUGUCAGUGUCCCUGUCCUUAAGUUGGACAAACUAAACGUCCUUGAAUGGGUGAUCCAAGAUAUUACCUUACCG